CUAACCAGGAGGCCUUUCAGAAGGGAUGGCUCCAGUAACUGUUAGAAAAGAGGUUACAGAGAAGGUCAGUGCAGAGCUAGGAAGAGAACCAUGGUCUCCUAAGACCAAAUUGAUUUUUCCCUGGUUUCAGGUUCUGUUAACUUUCUUAUCCCAGUACCUGCAGUUACCUGUAUUUUCUAAUCUUUCAUGAAUGAAACUUUGAGCAAGGACACCUAAUAAAGGAACUGGUUCUAACACCUUUAAGAAAGGUAAAAACGUUGCCUAGAAAGUCACUGUGAAAGUGGAAUACCAUGUCCAAGAACUGCUUCGCCAUGGUCUGAUCAUUGUAAAGCUCCUCUGAAGCUGCAAAUUACCCAGGCCCACUCCACGUGAUUACCCAGAGGGCAGCCAGCUGGUGACAUCACCCAACCCUGCCUAUGAAGAUAGGCUGAUGAGAAGGGACAGUGAGCUUGUCUCACUGCAGAAGGUAGUCCCCAGGCCUUCAGCACUUGGAUGUGAGGAAGAUUCUUAUAGCCAAAAUCACAUUCAAACUACAGCUGCUCCUUCAGCCCUGUCCUCUGCUAGCUUAUGGACCUCCAUAUCUGUGAAGUGCCCAAUCAUGGAAACUGAGACCUUAAACAUUUUGGAAAGCUGGUUCCAAGCACAGUUACACUGCAAUAUGACUGGAGCUGUCCCAUGUUUCCUUCGCCUGUCAACAGAAGUGAACAAAUUCAUCUCAGAACCAAAACCAAAUUUCUACAAAUGGAAUUUUGAAAGGUGC